rnacentral:rRNA from 1 species
GUUGAACGCUGGCGGCAUGCCCUACACACGCAAGUCGAACGGUAACAGAUCUUCGGAUGCUGACGAGUGGCGAACGGGUGAGUAAUACAUCGGAACGUGCCUAGUAGUGGGGGAUAACUACUCGAAAGAGUGGCUAAUACCGCAUGAGAUCUACGGAUGAAAGCAGGGGAUCGCAAGACCUUGUGCUACUAGAGCGGCCGAUGGCAGAUUAGGUAGUUGGUGGGAUAAAAGCUUACCAAGCCGACGAUCUGUAGCUGGUCUGAGAGGACGAUCAGCCACACUGGGACUGAGACACGGCCCAGACUCCUACGGGAGGCAGCAGUGGGGAAUUUUGGACAAUGGGCGCAAGCCUGAUCCAGCAAUGCCGCGUGCAGGAUGAAGGCCUUCGGGUUGUAAACUGCUUUUGUACGGAACGAAAAGCCCUGGGUUAAUACCCUGGGGUCAUGACGGUACCGUAAGAAUAAGCACCGGCUAACUACGUGCCAGCCGCCGCCGUAAUAC